rnacentral:rRNA from 1 species
UACGUAGGGUGCAAGCGUUAAUCGGAAUUACUGGGCGUAAAGCGUGCGCAGGCGGUUAUGCAAGACAGAUGUGAAAUCCCCGGGCUCAACCUGGGAACUGCAUUUGUGGCUGCAUAGCUAGAGUGCGGCAGAGGGAGAUGGAAUUCCGCGUGUAGCAGUGAAAUGCGUAGAUAUGCGGAGGAACACCGAUGGCGAAGGCAAUCUCCUGGGCCUGCACUGACGCUCAUGCACGAAAGCGUGGGGAGCAAACAGG